rnacentral:rRNA from 1 species
AUUGAACGCUGGCGGCAUGCCUUACACAUGCAAGUCGAACGGCAGCGCGGACUUCGGUCUGGCGGCGAGUGGCGAACGGGUGAGUAAUACAUCGGAACGUACCCUGUUGUUGGGGAUAACUAGUCGAAAGAUUAGCUAAUACCGCAUACGACCUGAGGGUGAAAGUGGGGGAUCGCAAGGCCUCACGCAGCAGGAGCGGCCGAUGUCUGAUUAGCUAGUUGGUGGGGUAAAGGCCCACCAAGGCGACGAUCAGUAGCUGGUCUGAGAGGACGAUCAGCCACACUGGGACUGAGACACGGCCCAGACUCCUACGGGAGGCAGCAGUGGGGAAUUUUGGACAAUGGGGGCAACCCUGAUCCAGCAAUGCCGCGUGUGUGAAGAAGGCCUUCGGGUUGUAAAGCACUUUUGUCCGGAAAGAAAUCGCGCUGGUUAAUACCUGGCGUGGAUGACGGUACCGGAAGAAUAAGCACCGGCUAACUACGUG